rnacentral:rRNA from 1 species
UUACACAUGCAAGUCGAACGGGGUCCAACUCGUGGCAACACGAGGGAAGACCUAGUGGCGAACGGGUGAGUAACACGUGAGCAACCUGCCCCGAAGACUGGGAUAAGCCUGGGAAACCGGGUCUAAUACCGGAUACCCCCACCGGGCCGCAUGACCUGGUGAGGAAAUGAAUUUCGCUUCGGGAGGGGCUCGCGGGCUAUCAGCUUGUUGGUGGGGUAACGGCCUACCAAGGCGACGACGGCUAGCUGGUCUGAGAGGACGAUCAGCCACACUGGGACUGAGACACGGCCCAGACUCCUACGGGAGGCAGCAGUGGGGAAUCUUGCACAAUGGGCGAAAGCCUGAUGCAGCAACGCCGCGUGCGGGACGAAGGCCUUCGGGUUGUAAACCGCUUUCAGCAGGAACGAAACUGACGGUACCUGCAGAAGAAGCCCCGGCCAACUACGUGCCAGCAGCCGCGGUAAUACGUAGGGGGCGAGCGUUGUCCGGAUUCAUUGGGCGUAAAGAGCUCGUAGGCGGCUUGGUAAGUCAAAUGUGAAACCUCCAGGCUCAACUUGGAGAUGCCACUUGAUACUGCCAU